rnacentral:rRNA from 1 species
AUGCUGCUUGUCAUCAUCGGCCUCCUCCCCACCAAAUUUGCCGUGCGGACCACCCUGCUCUCCCGGCGGUGGCGCCCCCUUUGGUGCCACGUCCCCCUCAACCUCACUGUCGACAACUGCCUCUGCGACGGGGAUUGUAAAUGCAUGGCCGCAGUCUCCAAGAUCCUUUCAUCGCACCCUCGGCCAGCCAGAUGCCUUGACAUUCGCAUGUUCAGUACCAACUGCAAGGUCCAACCCAAGUUCGAGGAGUGGUUAUUAUCCCCCGCCCUAGAUGAGCUCAAGGAGCUCAGCUUUGAAGCUGGACGAUGUCGCUCUCUGCCGCCGUCUGCUUCGCCUCACACCAACGCUGCACCGCGCCAACUUCAGCUCCUACUAUGUUCCCCAGAUUAA